AAGUGAGAAGACGACAGUAUAUGAGACAUGCAAUAAUACAGUCAAAAUAUUUGACUUUAUCUUAAAUAAACACGUCAAUAAUCUACAUGUCUGGCCCUCGAUGUGAUUCUCAUUUUCCAGUGUGGCCCUCUGGGAAACUGAGUUUGACCCCCCUGCUGUAGAUGAUCUGAUCUUAACGCAGUAA